rnacentral:rRNA from 1 species
AAUGCCGCGUGAGUGAAGAAGGCCUUCGGGUCGUAAAGCUCCUUCGACAAGGAAGAAGGGCGUAUAUAUAAAUAAUAUAUACGUCUGACGGUACUUAGAGAAGAAGCACCGGCUAACUCCGUGCCAGCAACCUCGGUGACUGAGCGGGCUGGCAAGGCGCAUA